ensembl:misc_RNA Metazoa_SRP Metazoan signal recognition particle RNA
GCUAGGUAUGGUGGCACAUGCCUGUAGUCCCAGCUACUGGGGAAGCUGAGGCAGGAGGAUCACUUGAGCCAAGGAGUUUGGGGCUGCAGUGAGCCAUGAUUGAGCCACUGCACUCCAGCCUGGAUGACAGAGUGAGACCUUGUCUCUU